rnacentral:rRNA from 1 species
CCCUUAGAUGUUCUGGGCUGCACGCGCGCUACACUGACCAGUGCAACAAGCAUCCGUCCUUGGCCGACAGGCCCGGGCAAUCUUUGAACGCUGGUCGUGAUGGGGAUAGACUUUUGCAAUUUUUGGUCUUCAACGAGGAAUUCCUAGUAAACGCAAGUCAUCAACUUGCAUUGAUUACGUCCCUGCCCUUUGUACACACCGCCCGUCGCACCUACCGAUUGAAUGGUCCGGUGAAGCCUCCGGAUUGGCGCGCACCCCGGUGCCGCCGAGAAGUUGGCUAAACCUUACCAUUUAGAGGAAGGUGAAGUCGUAACA